rnacentral:rRNA from 1 species
UACGUAGGUGGCAAGCGUUGUCCGGAAUUAUUGGGCGUAAAGCGCGCGCAGGCGGCUUCUUAAGUCUGAUGUGAAAUCUCGGGGCUCAACCCCGAGCGGCCAUUGGAAACUGGGAAGCUUGAGUACAGAAGAGGAGAGUGGAAUUCCACGUGUAGCGGUGAAAUGCGUAGAUACCCGGAGGAACACCAGUGGCGAAGGCGGCUUCCUGGUCUGCGACUGACGCUGUGGCGCGAAAGGCUAGGGGAGCAAACGGG